GAUAAUUCGGGGGUUAUUAAAUGUUACAAGUAAUUAUAAUUAUUGCAUAAAACCCGGAAAGGUUCAUGCUGGAAGUAAUUUGAUCUACAUUUGGAUAAUCGGAUGGGGCGGAAAGUACGGGUUGGUCUGGAGGGAACCCAAAAAUCGAUUCGUCCCAAAAGCGUUUGGGAGUCCACAAUCCCGAGAAUGAGCUUAUGCAUGAAUACUACCCCAUUGCAAAUUCGGCGAUGGUGUAAACAGGGUAGGUUCAGUAGUUUUAGGCUAGAUAGGUAUGGUGGAAGGAGUAUGUUUGAGUCCCAGUUUAGAUUUCUAAGGGCGAAUAUUAAAAAUUGUGAAGGGAUUCAAUAAUAAUUUGUUGCUCCUUGUAUUGUGGACUCCACACACAAGAACAAUACUCCAAUAUCGGGCGAACCAACGAGACGUACAGUGUUUUAGUUAUAUACGGAUCGUCAAAGUAGAAAAGUAGGUUAUUCGAACACCAAAUGCUUAAUUUAUCAAGGAAAAGUUGUAGGCGAGUAUGCAAGUACCAGUCGGAAUAAAAAAAAUAAAAAUUUGAACAUCAGCAUACAGUAAAGAAACUGAGUGCAAAAUAACUUGGGGCAGGUCGUUCACAAACAAAUUGAAAAAAAAGGACCUUAAUGACUUCCUUGAGGAGCUAGAGAGGUAACUUUCACAACAUUCGACAAGACAUAGUUAAACAAAACACGCUGUGUGCGAUUCGACAGGUACGAUGAUAACCAAUUUACAAGAUUUGUGGGAAAACCUAAUAAAGAGAGUUUAUGGAUCAGCAAGGUAUGAUUAACAGAAUCAAAAGCUUUACUGAAAUCUGUAAAAAUGACGUCGGUCUGCAAGCCACUUAGAAAUCGUAGGUUGAUUAGAGACGAGAAUUCUAAAAGGUUAGUAGAUGUUGAUCGAUGUCUAAAAAAACCAUGUUGUGACGGGCAUAUAAUGCUAGAACAUGCGUGUUGCAAUUUGUAACGGACACGGGAAGUGUCGUCUCGUCAGCACUCUCUGUCUACUAAAAGUUUGCCGGCUAGGCUCAGGGAAAAUGGGGUGGGUGGUGUGCUGCGAAAAUGAACUCCGUCACCUAACAAAAUCGUAGACAGAUUUACGGGAACUGGGAUCGGAAUUACAAACCCGGACGGAACUUAAGGUCCACUAC
rnacentral:lncRNA from 1 species